UACAGAGGUCCCAAGCGUUGUUCGGAUUCACUGGGCGUAAAGGGUGCGUAGGUGGUGAGGUAAGUCGGAUGUGAAAUCUCCGGGCUCAACCCGGAAACUGCAUUGGAAACUACCUUGCUUGAGGAUUUUGAGGGGGGGAUUGGAAUACUUGGUGUAGCAGUGAAAUGCGUAGAUAUCAAGUGGAACACCAGUGGCGAAGGCGAAUCCCUGGAAAAUACCUGACACUGAGGCACGAAAGCUAGGGGAGCAAACAGG
rnacentral:rRNA from 1 species